rnacentral:rRNA from 1 species
UACGGGGGGUGCGAGCGUUAUCCGGAUUUAUUGGGCGUAAAGCGCGCGUAGGCGGUUUUUUAAGUCUGAUGUGAAAGCCCACGGCUCAACCGUGGAGGGUCAUUGGAAACUGGAAAACUUGAGUGCAGAAGAGGAAAUUGGAAUUCCAUGUGUAGCGGUGAAAUGCGCAGAGAUAUGGAGGAACACCAGUGGCGAAGGCGACUUUCUGGUCUGUAACUGACGCUGAUGUGCGAAAGCGUGGGGAGCAAACAGG